AUAAGUUUGGGAGAACGUUUCACCUGCAAAUCAUUUACGUCGAAUCAAUCGUUAUAAAUAAAGACAGAUGUGUAAAAAAGAGAUUGUUAUCUUAAGUAAUAGAAAAAGAACAGAAAAUAAUUUUACAAGAAAAAUUGUGAAACAAUGUUCUUUGCACCAAAUUAAUUCUUAUUGAUAAAUAUUCUUAACGACAAAAAUAGGAAAAAACAUAUUUGCCAACUUUCAGAAUUUUUUAAUUAGUAUCUAAUUUCAAAUUGUAAAGAUAAGGAGGGGAAAAAGAAACGAAAGUAAUUCAUUUCCUCGUAGCUUAUAACCAUCUUGAUUCUUUCCAUAUAUUGAUUAAUCUACCCCAAUUGUAACAACCCUGUGCAGAGGGCGCCCUCGUGGUCGCUCGGUUAACAACCCCAAGCGAUGUGCGCUGUACAUAUACCGCCGUUCGGCGGACGGCGAAUAAGCUGCAUGUCAUUCCUUCGGUGGUUAUCGAACUAGUAAUACGCGAGCGAGUGUGGUACAACAAAUAUUCGUUCGUGCAUACUUCAUACGUUUCAGAGAUCCGUUAUACAAGUAAUUCAGGCGGUGGAAACAAUUUCUUCAUUCUUACUAGUCAUUUGCUUAUACUAUCAAUGUAAAGUAAAUUUGUUGGUAGUCAUGAGUUUUUGAUUUAUUAUAAAAUUUCAAGUAUACCUUAUGGAAAUGAAAGUAUUUUCGUGAUCAAUACUAUCUAAACUAUUGUUUGCUGCAUUUCGGAAAAGAAAUAUACUAAACUAACCGAAGAUGAAAGCAGUUCCAAUAGCUUGGAUGUAUUGCAAAGGAGCCGAACUGACUUAUAUUUGAAUUGUAAUUCCAAAGAAGAACAACGCUCCACCAGAUAAUAAAACAUUGCACAUCCGAAGUGAAACACAUUUCCGUUGACACUUUCUGUUCCUCCGUACAUCCGACGAUACGUCUUACAUGGAUAGUACAAAUGCCAGACCAUCAACGAGAUUAAUAUAUGGAAACAUUUUCCUUUUUACAUUUAUGUUUAAAUGGAAAAUCAAUCAAUGCUGUGUUUAUUUAAUGGUAAGAUGUUUUAGAGAUUAUAUGCAGUCGAAGAAAGUAUUAUUAUUUAUAAGUGAAUUUAUCUCAAAUAUUCUAAAUGGUAUGAAUCCCAAAUUGGAGUAAUUAUCCGGUAACUUCUAUAAUAUGGAAAUGGAAUUUUCUAAUAAAUCUUAUACAAAUAUAGUGCUAAAUUUAAAGAAUAUUAAUGGAAUAAUAGAAUGAUCAGUGAUAAAGGGUGUUUCAAUCGUUUCUCUUAUUUGUAAAGCUGUUGUUUGGCACGUAUGAUAGCUAGGGAUUAUUUCGCGUAUGAGACGCACUUGCGUAUUACUGGGUCGAAAAUCACGGAAGGAAUGACUUAACCUAGUUUUAUUAGUCCCAUGUUAGCAGGAUAGAAGACCAAGCUUCGUAAAAUCUAAUUCCCUAACUAGAACGCAUGGGGAUAAAUAAUUUCCCCUCUCCUAUAGUUAUGUAAUUAUAUGUAUAUAUAUUCUAUGUUCACGCGAAAUGAUCUGUGUAAUAUAUCUUGGAAUUUCCUAAUGAGAAUCUUACAAUAAUUCGUCUAUUUUUUAAUUGAAAUAAUCAUAUAAAACUGUAAUUAUUUAUGAUAUAAUUAACUAUUAUAAUAAUAAUUAUUGUAAUUAUCAAGA